ACUGUUCAGUUCAGAAGAGACGCUGCUGUGUGUGUUUGACUGCGAGAGCUUCAGUGCUGGACUGAAUAUGGACCCUCUUCUGCUCAGCGAAGAUAUGAUGCUAAAACAGAAUGAAGAGAAAUAAAUGCAGGUCAGAUGAGCGUCACAAACCGCAGGAGGAUUAAACAUUAAAAAUGACAAAGAAAGAGGACGAGAGACAAUCUAAUGAACACGGAGAGAAACAGACACUGAGACGAGUCCGAAACAAGAGCAUUAACAGUGGAACACCAAACUUUUGUCAUGAUUCAGACAGACCAGCAGAGACGCUCACAGAUGAGGUGAGAUAUGUUCUGAUCAGA
ensembl:lncRNA